AUGAACGACACUGAUGAAGCUGUUGGACACUAUACUCUAAACCAAGAUCAUGGUGGUGAUGUGCAGCUGCAGUCGGUUCCUGCUGUAACAGCUCAGAGUCUCUGCAGUCUGACUGAGGGAGGUUUUUUGCAGGAGGUUUUUGUACGGCCACUUAAUGAGUUUGUAUCACUGUGGUGGACUUUUGGUGGAGGAACCAAACUCACCGUUGACUUGGGUGUGGUGCGGCCCACCCUGACCGUCCUCCCCCCCUCCAAAGAGGAGGUGCAGCAGGGCAGUGCCACACUGCUGUGUCUGGCCAGCGGGGGCUCUCCCUCAACCUGGAGGCUGGACUGGAAGGUGGGGGGCAGCAGCAGCAGCUCCUCAGAGGUGUCACACAGCCCGGAGGUCCUGGGGAGGGACGGCCACUACAGCUGGAGCAGCACCCUGAGCCUCUCUGCAGACCGCUGGAGGAAGGCGGGCUCAGUGAGCUGUGAGGCCAGUCUGAAUGGACAGACCCCUGUCACUCAAAGCCUGGACCCUGACCGCUGCUCAGAGUAGAGCUUCAGCAACACUUCCUGUCUGGAAAUGAUGCUUCUUUUUCUUUGCUCCAGAUCUUGAUGAAGCUACAGAUCUUCUCUGUUCAGCUGUUUUAAUGUGCAUGUUGCUUUCUAACACUGAUCUUCUUCAUAUUCUGCUUUAUGUUCAUUACUUUUCAAAUGAAACUGAAUUUUAUGAC